GUAGGUGGCAAGCGUUGUCCGGAAUUAUUGGGCGUAAAGCGCGCGCAGGCGGUUCUUUAAGUCUGAUGUGAAAGCCCACGGCUCAACCGUGGAGGGUCAUUGGAAACUGGAGAACUUGAGUACAGAAGAGGAAAGCGGAAUUCCACGUGUAGCGGUGAAAUGCGUAGAGAUGUGGAGGAACACCAGUGGCGAAGGCGGCUUUCUGGUCUGUAACUGACGCUGAGGCGCGAAAGCGUGGGGAGCAAACAGGAUUAGAUACCCUGGUAGUCCACGCCGUAAACGAUGAGUGCUAAGUGUAGGGGGGUUUCCGCCCCCCUUAGUGCUGCAGCUAACGCAUUAAGCACUCCGCCCUGGGAGUACGGCCGCAAAGGCUG
rnacentral:rRNA from 1 species